AGUGAACGCUGGCGGUAGGCCUAACACAUGCAAGUCGAACGGCAGCACAGUAAGAGCUUGCUCUUACGGGUGGCGAGUGGCGGACGGGUGAGGAAUACAUCGGAAUCUACUUUUUCGUGGGGGAUAACGUAGGGAAACUUACGCCAAUACCGCAUACGCUCUACGGGGGAAAGCAGGGGAUCUUCGCACCUGGCGCGAUUGAAUGAGCGGAUGUUGGAUUAGCUGGUUGGCGGGGUAAAGGCCCACCAAGGCGAGGAUCCGUAGCUGGUCUGAGAGGAUGGUCGGCGACACUGGAGCUGAGACACGGUCCAGACUCCUGCGAGAGGCAGCAGUGGGGAAUGUUAGACAGUGGGCGCGAGCCUGACCCAACCGUACCGCGUCGGUUACGGAGGCCUUCCGGUUGUGAAGACGUUUUGUUGGGAAAGAAAAGCAGCAGGUUGAUACCCCGCUGUUCUGACGGUACCCGAAGAAUAAGCACCGGCUAACUUCGUG
rnacentral:rRNA from 1 species